ACUAACAACUGAGAAUCAGUUGUUUUAAAGGAAGAGAAAGAGACAAAUCUUUAAUUCCCUGUAAUCAGUACAAAAGCUGACCCCUUUCACUCUUAUAUUCAAUCCUAAAAUACUGUUUUUCCCUUAAAUACGAAAACCAAUUUUUUUUCUUUGCUUGGGAUUAAAUUCAGACAGAUUUUUUUAAUUGGCGAUUCGAAAAACAUCGACACCAUCCCACAAAGAUUUCAACUUUUCAAAAAUGGUUUUGCUAAGGUUGUGACAAGGAAUAUGGUGUCUUUAGGAUCCAGUUCUAUGCUUAAUUUCCGUGGUAUGAAUGGAGAGAAGAGGUCAUUCUUUGAUUCAUUAGAUUAAGAAGACAAUGAAGCUGAUGAAUUGGGGGAGUAUUUUCAUCAAGAAGAUAAGAAGAGGCGACUUACGGACAACCAAGUCCAGGUUUUUUUAAAAGUGUUUUAGGGAGGAGAACAAACUUGAACCUGAAAGAAAAGUCCAGCUUCCUAAAGAACUAUGUUUGUAGCCUCAUUGUGCACGAUGAAAGGCUAAGAAGCUUGAGAAAGAGUAUGAGGAACUCAAGAAUAGAUAUGACAAUUUGAAAUCAAAUUACAAUACUCUUCUCAAGGAAAAAGAAAAUCUUAGAGUUGAAGUAAGGAGCUUUACAUUUUAUAUCAUAGUAUAGUUUUAUUUUAUUUUCUAUAAUCUUCUUGUGGACUAUGCUUUAUGUGAUGGUUCAAUCCUUAUUCAUGCUUUCCAACUCACUGAUAAACUGUUUGUCAAGGAGAAAGGAAAUGGGUAAUUAGCUUUAGGCGAUAUACAGAAACACUCUGAUGCCUCGGUGAAACAAUCUUUGGCUGAUCCAAUUUCGAAGAUAGAACUAUUCAAUGUGCCAACACGAAUUCUUAAACACCAGAAGCAAGAAGAUUUAAG